GGGGAAUUUUCCGCAAUGGGCGCAAGCCUGACGGAGCAACGCCGCGUGAGGGAUGAAGGCCUCUGGGCUGUAAACCUCUUUUCUCAAGGAAGAAGACCUGACGGUACUUGAGGAAUAAGCCACGGCUAAUUCCGUGCCAGCAGCCGCGGUAAUACGGGAGUGGCAAGCGUUAUCCGGAAUUAUUGGGCGUAAAGCGUCCGCAGGCGGCCUUGAAAGUCUGUUGUUAAAGCGUGGAGCUUAACUCCAUUUCAGCAAUGGAAACUACAAGGCUAGAGUGUGGUAGGAGCAGAGGGGAUUCCCGGUGUAGCGGUGAAAUGCGUAGAUAUCGGGAAGAACACCAGUGGCGAAGGCGCUCUGUGGGCCAUAACUGACGCUCAUGGACGAAAGCCAGGGGAGCGAAAGGGAUUAGAUACCCCUGUAGUC
rnacentral:rRNA from 1 species